rnacentral:rRNA from 1 species
UACGUAGGGUCCGAGCGUUGUCCGGAGUUACUGGGCGUAAAGGGCGCGCAGGCGGCGGUGUAAGCAUGGCGUGAAAGCCCCAGGCUCAACCUGGGAGGGUCGUCGUGGACUGCACCGCUUGAGGGCGGUAGGGGCUGGUGGAAUGCCUGGUGUAGUGGUGAAAUGCGUAGAGAUCAGGCGGAACACCCGUGGCGAAGGCGGCCAGCUGGGCCGUCCCUGACGCUGAGGCGCGAAGGCGUGGGGAGCGAACGGG